GUGGGGAAUAUUGCACAAUGGGCGCAAGCCUGAUGCAGCGAUGCCGCGUGAGGGAAGAAGGUUUUCGGAUUGUAAACCUCUGUCAUCGGGGACGAAAAUGACGGUACCCGAGAAGGAAGCUCCGGCUAACUACGUGCCAGCAGCCGCGGUAAUACGUAGGGAGCAAGCGUUAUCCGGAAUUACUGGGUGUAAAGGGAGUGUAGGCGGGACUGCAAGUCAGAUGUGAAAUAUGCCGGCUCAACUGGCAGACUGCAUUUGAAACUGUGGUUCUUGAGUGAAGUAGAGGUAAGCGGAAUUCCUAGUGUAGCGGUGAAAUGCGUAGAUAUUAGGAGGAACAUCAGUGGCGAAGGCGGCUUACUGGGCUUUAACUGACGCUGAGGCUCGAAAGCGUGGGGAGCAAACAGG
rnacentral:rRNA from 1 species